rnacentral:ncRNA from 1 species
AAAUAGAUAAAUUUUUUAUAUUUUUUAUAAUUUAUUAUAAAUUUAUUUUACAUGUAAAUUUUAGUAUAAAAUUUUAAUUAUUUUAAAAAUAAUUAAUUUAAAUAAGCAGUAAUUAAAAUUAAAAAUUUAAGAAAUUAAGAUUUAGUAAUAUUUAAAUUAAUAACUAAUUUUGUGCCAGCAGUUGCGGUUAAACAAAAAUUAAAUUAAAUUAUUUCAGUUUAUAAUAAAUAAAUAAAUAUUAAAUUAAAUAUUAAAUUAUUAAGUGAAAUUUUAAUUUAAUUAAAAAUUAUUUUUAAUUUAUGAUUUAAUAAAUUUUAUUUUAAACUAGGAUUAGAUACCCUAUUAUUAAAAAUUUAAUUAAAAAUACUAAAAUAGUAGGUAAAUUAUUAUUGAAACUUAAAUAAUAUGGCGGUAUUUUAGUUCAUUUAGAGGAAUCUGUCUAAUAAUUGAUAAUCCACGAAUAAAUUUACUUAAUUUAUAAUUUUGUAUAUCAUUGUUAAAAAAAUAUUUUUAAAUAAAAAUAAUAUUUUAAAAUUUAAAAUAAAAUUUAAUUCAGAUCAAGAUGCAGGUUAUAAUUAAGUUUAGGAUGGAUUACAAUAAAUUUAUUUAAAUGAAAAAAAUUUUGUAAAAUUUGAUUGAAGGUGGAUUUAAAUGUAAUUUUAAUUAGUUUAUUAAAAUGAUUAAAAAUUAAAAUAUGUACAUAUUGCCCGUCACUUUCAUUUAAAAAUUGAAAUAAGUCGUAACAAAGUAGAAGUACUGGAAAGUGUUUCUAGAAUGAA